rnacentral:rRNA from 1 species
CCUAACACAUGCAAGUCGAACGAAGGCUUCGGCCUUAGUGGCGCACGGGUGCGUAACGCGUGGGAAUCUGCCCUCAGGUUCGGAAUAACAGCGAGAAAUUGCUGCUAAUACCGGAUGAUAUCGCGAGAUCAAAGAUUUAUCGCCUGAGGAUGAGCCCGCGUAGGAUUAGCUAGUUGGUGUGGUAAAGGCGCACCAAGGCGACGAUCCUUAGCUGGUCUGAGAGGAUGAUCAGCCACACUGGGACUGAGACACGGCCCAGACUCCUACGGGAGGCAGCAGUGGGGAAUAUUGGACAAUGGGCGAAAGCCUGAUCCAGCAAUGCCGCGUGAGUGAUGAAGGCCUUAGGGUUGUAAAGCUCUUUUACCCGGGAUGAUAAUGACAGUACCGGGAGAAUAAGCUCCGGCUAACUCCGUGCCAGCAGCCGCGGUAAUACGGAGGGAGCUAGCGUUAUUCGGAAUUACUGGGCGUAAAGCGCACGUAGGCGGCUUUGUAAGUUAGAGGUGAAAGCCUGGAGCUCAACUCC